UGCAUGGUUGUCGUCAGCUCGUGUCGUGAGAUGUUGGGUUAAGUCCCGCAACGAGCGCAACCCUUAUCUUUAGUAGCCAGCACGUUAAGGUGGGAACUCUAGAGAGACUGCCGGCGAUAACUCGGAGGAAGGUGGGGAUGACGUCAAAUCAUCAUGCCCCUUAUGACCUGGGCUACACACGUGCUACAAUGGCGGAUACAAAGGGAAGCAAACCCGUGAGGUCGAGCAAACCCCAGAAAGUCCGUCCCAGUUCGGAUUGUAGUCUGCAACUCGACUACAUGAAGUUGGAAUCGCUAGUAAUCGCGAAUCAGAAUGUCGCGGUGAAUACGUUCCCGGGCCUUGUACACACCGCCCGUCACACCAUGGGAGUUGGAAGUGCCCGAAGUCAGUGACCCAACUGUCAGGAGCCAGCGGCCGAAGGUGGGAUUGAUGAUUGGGGUGAAGUCGUAACAAGGUA
rnacentral:rRNA from 1 species